CUCUCGUCACCAAACCCAUCGCUCCUCCCAUCCCAUCUCUCGCGAGAAAAAUUCCCUACCGCCAUCCAGAUCGGAGAUCACCUCAGGUCUCCUCCACCAUUCGCCUGCCUCCCCCCAAGGCUGUGGCCCGACUCAUCCUCCCCUUCGCUCACCGCACUAGCGCAGGUGCUCAUGCCUUCCUAGCGCUCAAGCGCUGCCCACAGAUAAACGAUGGCUUCAGCCGCGUCAACGAGGUCGAGGAGUCCCUGACCCAGCCCUCACCAUCACCUUCAUCGGAGGCCUUGCCCGUCUCGAUAGGGUCGGUUACUCGUUCCCUCCCCUGUCCUACCCUCCCCUGGAGGCGGCGACGCACUCCUCUCAUCUAUCUCCAAGGGAUGCCCUGCCCUCCCCUGGCGUGCUAGGGACCGAUGAUCGUGGGGAAUGUGAUCUGGUGGCGCCCGUCGAACAUCGAGAGGUGGCAGAGCCCCGCCACACACUUGUCCCCCCCUCCUCAGGAUCCUCAAUUUCUCAUCUAAAAGGUUUAUGUGGAUGGAACUACCACCAUAUCCACCCAUCCUUUUGGUUUGGUCCUGUGAUGCUGACGCACAUUGUCGUUCAUGAUCCUAUUAUUUGCCUUUUAGUUUUGACUUGUGAUGCUGACGCACGUUUUCUUUCUACAACUGUGAUAUUUCCCUCCUUCGUGGAUGUAUGCAACUGCAUGAAUGGGACAACGAAGCCGCUGUCAUGAAAGUUGUAGAGUGAUGACAGAGAUACCGAGGUGUGAAAUAAAAGGCAAAUGUGAAGCUCUUGCAUCAAUCCUCAGACUGAUUCCUGCAAAUUUUCCUACAAAACUACAACAUGGUAGUCUUGAAGUAAAUACUAUUUCUGUUAUUUUCUAUGUGUUUUUAGCACAAUAGAUAGUUAAUAUUGUUUUUACUCUCCAAGUUCAGGAUGAGGUCGACCAAUUAAGAAAACAGUUUGGUGAGAUAGAGUGGCAGGUUUGCUAGAAUCACUGUAGCUUUUUCUGGGAUGUUUUUCUUUUUUGAGGAAACUAUUUUGUUUACACCAUCCUAUUGGCAUGUCUAUGGCAUCAGUGAAACUUAAACGAACACUUCUAGGCUAGAUAUUAUUAAGGUGUACAUACAUUGAUCCUUUACAUGGAUCUUACCAUAUUUAUUUGCCAGUCAUUUGAGCUAUUUGAGAAACUUGAAGGCAAGCUCAAGGAAAUACAUCAUUACCUUUUAGUUUUAUUUUUGAGUUGUUGGAAUCAAUCUGGAAAACAUCAUCCUAUUGUAGAUACAAUAUUUACGGGUUUAUAGUCUUAUACUCUGUUUGACAUUACACAUUACGGAAAUAGUGAGAUUAUGCUUAUGCCACUAUGCUGACAGUGAUUGGCUUAUUAAUAGUAUGGAGAGGACAAGAUCGAAAAGGACGGUGAUAUAAGGAAAACGGGGAGUGGAAGAGGAAGAAAGUUGGGAUGACAAUUAUAAAUAGAAUAUCGAGUUUGAUGAUGAUGAUAAUUGGAACCAAGAGGAGGAAGCAGGUAAGUUUCAUUUGAUUUUCUGUUCAUAUGGCGGCUAAUGUGACCAGAUAUGUAAGUCUGGAUUGGUUUACUUACUUUCUUGUAGGUUCUACACUUACAGUUUUUAGUACUUGCUUCUUGUUGCCUCUCAGUGUAUCACUAAAUAAUCAGUGUUCUGGGUACUUGCUUCCUGUUGCCUCCCAGUGUAUCACUGAAUAAUCAGUUGACCAGUGUUGGCAAAGGUGCAUCGAUCCUAUUUAGUUCUGGUUCUGUAUGCCUCCCUAGAUACAACUUAUACCCAAAAAUAUUAGCAUACACAUUGAUAUCAGUUGUGGGAGACUCGGCUAUGCCGGCAAUGCCUCCAAUGUGGUGGUGGUCAUGGUGGACGCCACCAUGUGCACUUCAGCUCAUCUGGGUGUAGCCGGAGUGAUUUCCUUCGCAGUUCAAGUCCGGGCAGUUUUUUAUGUGCAUGUAAUCCUGUUUUGCUUGGUCCCUAGCAUUAUUAAUUUUAUUUUUCUACCAAUAACAACCAAGUAAUGUGUGCAUGUCCACGUCUUAGUGUAAUUCUCGGCUAGUUAGAUCUUACCGAUGCAUGUGCUUCGUGGGAUGCCACGAAUCCAGUGCAAGCAGCGUCGCUGUGGCUGGGUUCAGGUGGACAUGGGAUGGUUCAUCCGAUAUACCUACCCACUAGCUAUUCUCUCUUUUUCAGUAGUAUUUUAAAUGACAGUAGUUGACCAUAUAAAUAAGAGGAAAAAUCCAGAAAAGGUUGCAAGAUUUUUACGCAAUGCAAAUCACUUGUUUGCGUGCUCGCGUGUGUGUGUAGGUGCGCUGGUUCUUUCAUGUCCAAAUACUUGUGUAGUGUUGUGAGAGAGAUCCAGCAACUUCAGUUUUUGUCAUGCAGUUCCGUGAGUCAUAUACAUCUCUUGUGUCCUUUAGAUACAUCAUGUGUACAGGGAGCAAGCGCCACAUUGCUACAUUUAAUGCUUUGGUGUGCUCUCACGCUCCAAGCCAUUGUCCCACGCUCCAAACUGCAUAUAUUGACUGUGAUAUGAAAUUGUAAUUGCUCAUAAUUUAAAUUUUUGACACAAGGCAGGAGCCAAGAAUACUAGCUUGCCUGGGAGAAUAUAUGUAAGAGAGUAUAUUAAUUUACCUUUUGAGGGAAGAGUAUAUAAUUUAAGAAUAAGGCACAUCUGUGUGACAUGGAAGCUCUUAACAAUGGUUAGCAUAUGGUUGCCAAGUUAUUUCUAUGGUUCAUCUCAAAUUGAGCGUCUUGAUACUUCAUACGAAAAUUUGGUUGUAAAAAUUUGUUUGCCACAAGACACACUUUUUUGUAUGAAAGAAAUAUGUAUAAGAUUCCUGAAGCAUUGUCGAAAAGCAGGUUCGUAUGUCUGAGUGUCUGACAUGCCUUUCUUUUUCAGUUUUUCCUGCCAGAAAGAAAGCAAGUGACUUAUUUAAUCCCAGAGAUAUGUCCCUGUUAUCAGUUUUGAGGAGUCAUUGUUCCAGUCAUACAAAAUGUUGACAGUGUUGGAAAUAUGCCCUAGAGGCAAUAAUAAAAGUAUUAUUAUAUUUCA